CAUCAGGUCUCCAAGGUG
rnacentral:snRNA from 1 species